GAUGAACGCUAGCGAUAGGCUUAACACAUGCAAGUCGAGGGGCAGCAUGGUCUUAGCUUGCUAAGACUGAUGGCGACCGGCGCACGGGUGCGUAACGCGUAUGCAACUUGCCUCACAGAGGGGGAUAACCCGUCGAAAGACGGACUAAUACCGCGUACACUUGGGAUAGGGCAUCCUGACCCAAGGAAAUGAAAUUCGCUGUGAGAUAGGCAUGCGUCCCAUUAGCUAGUUGGUGAGGUAACGGCUCACCAAGGCGACGAUGGGUAGGGGAACUGAGAGGUUGAACCCCCACACUGGUACUGAGACACGGACCAGACUCCUACGGGAGGCAGCAGUGAGGAAUAUUGGUCGAUGGGCGAGAGCCUGAACCAGCCAAGUCGCGUGAAGGAUGACUGUCUUAUGGAUUGUAAACUUCUUUUAUACGGGAAUAACAAGAGUCACGUGUGGCUCCCUGCAUGUACCGUAUGAAUAAGCAUCGGCUAACUCCGUG
rnacentral:rRNA from 1 species